AUGGCGUCCACGGCGAGCGGCAGCAGCAGCUACGGCGUCACAGGGAAAAGCCGGGUGCGCGCGGGAGCGCGAACGAGCGACGCGAGCGAGCUGCGGGAGCACGACAAGGGGGAACCAGCGCGGGGCACGCAAACAUGGUACGGCGGCACAACACUACACAAACGAAUACAGAAAACGUCGAAGCACUACGAGCGCGAGAAAGACAUGGAUCGGAAAGCAAUCUACGGGCGCCUACAUGCCAUGGGAAGGAUGGGAGAGGGAGGUGCAUUACCCAGCUCACCCAAGGACGCGAAGUGGUCGACGGAGACGAGCUGGCGGCGACGAAUCGGAGCUCUGAACCUUGGCGCGUCUCUGACCGAGAGGAAGGAGGAAGCAGGGGACAUCGAGGAACUCGUUGUCCGGGGCAUCGUAGUCGACGUCGUGGAAGGAGACGACGCCGAGGAAGAAAAAGGACACGAUCGGCAGGAUUGGGAGUGGCCGGAGAGCACGCCGGCGACGAGGCGCGCUCUCAGGUGCGCUCAGGACGGAGCGGAUGCGGUGAAUCUGGUGGUCUACUCACCUGGCGGCGGCGAUGGGAGGAAGAGGGAAACCCUAGGGGGCAUGUGGACACAGAGAGGGGAUAAAAGGGAGGCUAGGGCGACUGGUGGAGCACGGCGUCGACGCGGCCGUGGCCAUGUGCGCGCGCGGCGUGAGCUAGACGAAAAGAUUGCCGCACAUAAACCUGCUGAGCCGACAUCGACGCCAAGUGCGGCGAUGCCACUUCCGAUGAUUGGGAGGGUGAGUUCUUCCUGGGCUUUACCAAGAUCAGCUAUGAGGGUCCAACUAGCAAGAGGCCGCUUUCUUACAAGUGAUGAAGAAGGAGAAGAGAAUGUCCAUGGCUCAUCAGGGGGCGGCAGGCGGGGCGACACGAUGCUGACAAAGGUGUUCGUGGGUGGCCUGGCGUGGAAGACGAGCAAGGAGGGCGUGCAUGGCCACUUCGAGCGCUUCGGCGAGAUCCCCGAGGACGUCGUCAUCGCCGACAAGGGCACCAGCAGAUCCAAGGGCAGCAGAUUCUUACGUUCUGGAGACAGAGGCGGCCAUGAAGGGCUUGGCUCCGUACCCGUGAUUGACGGCCGGAGGGCCAACUGCAACCCCGACCUGCCUUGGGGUCCAGAGGUCCAAGGCGCCACAACCAACUGCCUCUGA
rnacentral:rRNA from 1 species